UAACACUGUUAACUUUCCUUUAUUUCGUUGUUACUAUAUUAUAAAUAGAUACCAAUAAAGAGAGUGAUUUUAACAUCAAAACCAGACUCCAGUGUGAACUCUAUUGCUGCUGGUUCGUUUCUAAAACGUUGCAGCUCGUAACACAGUUUUAUAAAACUAGUUAGACCACAUCUGGAGUGUUUCAUACAGUUCUGGUCGCCCCCAUUCUCGAAAGGAUGUCGGGGCUUUGGACAGGGCACAGAAGAGGUUUACCAGGACACUGCCUGGAUUAGAGGGCAUGAGCUAUAACGAGAGGCUGGACAAACUUGUGUUGUUUUCUCCAGAGCGGCGCAGGCUGGGGUGAGACUGGAUGGACGAUUAUAAGAUUACGAGAGGAAUAGAUAGAGUGGACAGACGAUAUAUUUUUCCUGGGGGUUGAAAUGUCUAAUACAUUUAAGGUGAGAUGAGAUGUGAGCGGCAAGUUUGCUUCUUUCCACUGACUAAUGAGUAGCUGGAGUCUCUGCCUUGGGGGGAGGGGGGAGGUGUCACCAAUCCUGACGAGUAAUCCCAUUUGCCCCUCCCAUUUAACCGCAGCAUCUGCGUGGCCCCGCCUCCCGAUGAUGUAACAAUCUCUUCGCGCAUGUUCACAGUCUCCGGGUGGACGGUGUAUCCUCUCCGCUCAGAGCUGAAGUGGGUCGGCCGUGUGUUCGGGAAAGACUUUCGACUCUUCCUUCGAGAUCACUCUCUGCGGGCCGAAGAUAUCACUUCAAUACUUCGGUAUUGAGACCGAUCCCGAGCGGGGAGAUCUGAUGUUGGCCGUGAGCCCGGAACUGAGGGCCAGUUAAUCAUCUAUUUUCCAGCUAUCUGGGCUCGUCAGAAAUGUGUCGACUUAACUUAAUCUGCAUUGAACGAUCCAAACCAGGAGCCCAGGCUGUCUGUUUCAGCAGAAUUGAAAUGGAAGACUCGCAGACAGGUCACUUGUGUCUUGUGCCGCAGAUUCGCCCCGCCUCCGCUUUGUGACGCCAGAUCACGUGGUUGAUUUUGGCCACUGACUGUGUUCAGUUAAAACUGCGGUGAGAGAUUUAUUGGAAGAAAACGCAUGACUGAAGACGAGGGAACAGCAACAUGUGAACCAGCCCGAGGAUUGAGAGCACUGACUGGAGAGGACCCAUAUGACUCGGAGAUUCCAGUGAUUCAGUCAGGAGAAAGUUUGGUUAAAAACGGGAAGGAAUAUGUCUCCAGGAAUCUCAAACACGGCACAACAGUUUUUUUGUCUCUGUCCAGAUAUUUAAGAAGUGGAGCAAGGGAUUCAAUCUACCAUCCUUCCUGCUCAGACUGUGGGGAGGGAUUCACUUGGUCAUUUCAACUGAAGCUUGUUUAGUUUUAACCGAGGACACAGACACUCAGAGACAGACAGAGACAAAGGAGGAAAAAUGGAAGGAUCGAAACCAGGGAACUAGUGGCCAAGGGUCACUGUUUGGAACUUUCCUAUGCCCACAAGGACGGGUUAAUUAUCGAUUCACCGUACAUCGAAUGUGUGGUUGUCAUCUCGUUUGAUCCUUAAGAGUGGAUCGGAUUUGGCGCAUCCUGUGGAGACCACUUAUGUGUUAACCCUUGCCUGGCUGUGGUGUGGUAGUUCACGAAGACAAUACCCCUUGUGACAAGUCACUUUCGAUGAUAAUUUGUAUGUGGAUUUGGAACAAUGAUGGAUAAAAUCUCCAGCAACUGUUCUCUCGUUUUACCACCGUGGAACCUGUGCAAUUCUACAUAUUUGACUUCUCUCGCCAUUUACCCUGGAUCAUAACUCACUCUCUCUCAUCGCCUAUUCUGUAGUUCAACUGAACUUUCAUACUUUACCAUCUCAAGACUGGAAGCCUUGUUUCCCCUGAGCUCAAUAGUUUGGGAGUUACAUUUACACACAUUUAUAAGCUUAACACUGUUAACUUCUGUUUAUCUUGUUGAAGUUGCAAUUUUACAAGUAGAUUCUAAUAAAGACAGAUUUAACA